rnacentral:rRNA from 1 species
CCUACGGUGGCUGCAGUGGGGCAUAUCGCACAAUGGGCGCAAGCCUGAUGCAGCCAUGCCGCGUGUGUGAAGAAGGCCUUCGGGUUGUAAAGCACUUUCAGCGGGGAGGGAGGCGUUAAGGUUAAUAACCUUGGCGAUUGACGUUACCCGCAGAAGAAGCACCGGCUAACUCCGUGCCAGCAGCCGCGGUAAUACGGAGGGUGCAAGCGUUAAUCGGAAUUACUGGGCGUAAAGCGCACGCAGGCGGUCUGUCAAGUCGGAUGUGAAAUCCCCGGGCUCAACCUGGGAACUGCAUUCGAAACUGGCAGGCUAGAGUCUUGUAGAGGGGGGUAGAAUUCCAGGUGUAGCGGUGAAAUGCGUAGAGAUCUGGAGGAAUACCGGUGGCGAAGGCGGCCCCCUGGACAAAGACUGACGCUCAGGUGCGAAAGCGUGGGGAGCAAACAGGAUUAGAUACCCCGGUAGUC